rnacentral:rRNA from 1 species
AUACGGAGGGUGCAAGCGUUAUGCGGAAUCACUGGGCGUAAAGGACGCGUAGGCGGGUUGGCAAGUCAGAUGUGAAAUCCUACAGCCUAACUGUAGAACUGCAUUUGAAACUGCUAACCUAGAGUAUGGGAGGGGGAGAUGGAAUUAGUGGUGUAGGGGUAAAAUCCGUAGAUAUCACUAGGAAUACCGAAAGCGAAGGCGAUCUCCUGGAACAUAACUGACGCUAAGGCGUGAAAGCGUGGGGAGCAAACAGGAUUAGAAACCCUAGUAGUCC